rnacentral:lncRNA from 1 species
GUCCAAUCUGCUUUAUUCUGUGUAACUCUUGUGUAUAUAUACAUAUAUAUGUGUAUGUAUGUAUGUAUAUGUAUGUAUAUAUAUAUAUACGUAUAUAUAUAUAUAUAUAUAUAUAUAUAUAUAUAUACACACACACAUACAUGCACACACCCCCCAAAGCAAAGGCCUCGAAUUAGCACAAAUGCUAUGGAAUGCAUCAGUAUGUAUUUGUGCUGUGAUUAAGAAAUGUCAUUGGUUUUAAAUUAAUUGCUCUGCAGCUGCAGUUUUGUUGUGUUUCGGAGGAUACGUGACUUACAAGCUUAUCCUUUGCAAACUGCAAAUACUGCCUUCCAGGCAUGAGGUGGUGUCCCUGUAACCUGAUGUGAGCAGGCAGCUCAGUCAGAAGACUGGCAGAAGAGCUCUCAAAAAUGUGGAGUGCGCCAGGCGUGGUGGCGCACACCUUUAAUCCCAGCACUUGGGAGGCAGAGGCAGGCGAAUUUCUGAGUUCGAGGCCAGCCUGGUCUACAGAGUGAGUUCCAGGACAGCCAGGGCUACACAGAGAAACCCUGUCUCAAAAAAAAAAAAAAAAAAAAAAAGAAAAAAAAAGAAAGAAAGAAAAAGUAAGUGAGGAGUGCAAGCAACAUGAGGUGCCUGACUGUAAUCUCCGCACUGCAAGGAUAGUCAGCUGCCAUGUCAAUUGGAGGCCAGCUGGGCUAUGUGAGACCUGUCUCAGAAGAAUUUAGAUUGAAGCCAGUUAGAUGCUCAUCACCUGAUGCAGAAUCUUGGCGGGUGGGGUGCGGUAGGGUGAUGACUUCAAUACCUAUUUUAUUUAUGCCUAUGCUGGAGCUCAUCUACAUUUCCAAUUUUGGAUUUUUUUUGGUUUCUCUAAAAUUGAACAAGAGGUUACAUACUUACAGAGCUAUUCUGCUAUUCUGAACAUGGAUGCUAGCUUUUGAAAAUACUGUAUGGACAGCUUACAUAGAUUAGCUUUUUUUUUUUUUGUCAGAACUUGCCUGUGCAUUUUUAAAGGCAUUCAGCUUCUUGCUCACAGAAGUAACUAUUCUCACCAUCAUUUCGAGUUUGAGCAACCUGUAAUUAAGUUGGGCAAUUAUACAACCGGCGUCCCUGGCACGGAAAGUCUGAAAAUGAAGCGUAGCUGGCUCGCCCUGAGCAUCAGGCUCACGGUGGGGACAGGCACAUGUGUGAACACAGGUGCCACCUCGAUCCUGUGAUUGUUCACCCUUAGGGAUCUUGCACUCAGAAAAAUGUCUUGUGCUAUACUGGGCAGGGCUGGGCAGGGUGACACACGCCUGAAAACCCCAUGCUUAGGACUUGGAGGAAGGAGUGCCAUGAGUUUAAGGCCAGCUUGAACUACAUAAUGAGUCUCAUGGCAGUCUGAACAAUAUAGGGAGGCUCUUGUUUCAGAAAAAAAAAAAAAGAUUAAAAAAAUUACCCAUUACAAAUGUGAGCCCUCUGUUUAAUGGCCCUGUGAUGAGAGGAAAGUAAGUAAAAAUAACUUGCUCCUGAGCUGGGCAUGAUGUCACAUGCCUGUGCUCUUAGCACCUGGAAGAUGCAGGCGUAAAGAUUAAGAUCUUAGGGUCAUCAUCUGCAUAGCAAGUUUGAAGCCAGCCUGGGCUAUGUGGGUCUCAAGGGGCAACACAAAGAAUAGCUUCUUGCUUUUUCCUUUUUUUUUUUAAAGCUUGGGCCACCACCACCCAGCUGGACUCUUUCAUUAUUUAUUUUAUGUAAGUGCACUGUAGCUGUCUUCAGACACUCGAGAAGAGGGCAUCAGAUUUUGUUACGGAUGGUUGUGAGCCACCAUGUGGUUGCUGGGAUUUGAACUUGGGACCUUUGGAAGAGUAGUCGGCGCUCUUAACCACUGAGCCAUCUCACCAGCCUGCUUUUUCUUUAAUUUUUAAAAUAUUUAGUUUAUUUUAUUCUAGUAUGUGUAUGAAUGCUUUGCCUGCAUAUAUGUGUAUAUACCAUGUGUGUGCUUGAUGCCAGUGAAAAUCAGAAGAAGGCAUCAGAUUCCCCCCGGUCUAGAGUUACAGGUGGCUGUGAGCUACCAUAUAGAUGCUGGGAGUGGAACCCAGGUUCUCUACAAGGGUAAAAUGCUUUUAACCACCGAGCCAACUCUCCAGCUCAGCCACUUUAUUUUAAUGUCCAAAAUCAGGUUCCAUGUGGCUGUUUUCAUUGCUAUACUAAGACUGGUUUGAAGACAUCCUUUUUAUACAUAUAUAUCCUUUAGAAUUAUUCUUAGCUUUAAAAAUAAGCUCAUGGGGCUAGAGAGCAUAUAAUGAGUAUAUGCUGUCUUAAAGAAGACUCAGGUUUGUUUUCCAGCAUCUAUGUGGGGCAGCUUCCAGCCCCCUGUAACUACAGCUCCAGGGAAUCUUACACCCUCUUCUGGUGUGUGCAAGCACCUGCACUCAUGUACACAUACCUGCACAUAUACACAUAACUAGAGAAAGUAAAAAUAAGAAUAUUUUAAAAUUUGUUCAUUUUUACAUAGGGAAUACUUGAAAUUUGGUUUGUGAGGUUUUGGUUAAUUUUUACUGUGCUUAUUUAUUUGUUUAUUUACUUUUUUUUUUUGAGACAAUUUCUUUGUGUAGCCCCUGGCUGUCUACUCUCUCUGUAGACCAGGCUGUCCUUGAACUCAAGAGAUUUGCCUGCUUCUGCCUCCUGAGUGCUAAGAAUAAAGGCGUGUGUUACCACUGC